GCCUAAAGGGGCCGUAGCUUGAUAAUAGGGUCCCUUGAGAAAUCCGCCGGCUUAACUGGCGGGCGUUCAGGGGAAACUUGUUUUCUAGGGACCGGGAGAGGUGAGGGGUACUGCCGGGGUAGGAGUGAAAUCCUGUAAUCCCGGUGGGACCACCUAUGGCGAAGGCAUCUCACCAGAACGGGUCCGACAGUGAGGGACGAAAGCUGGGGGAGCAAACCGGAUUAGAUACCCGGGUAGUCCCAGCUGUAAACUAUGUGCGUUAGGUGUGUCAGUGACCACGUGUCACUGAGGUGCCGAAGGGAAACCGUGAAACGCACCGCCUGGGGAGUACGGUCGCAAGGCUGAAACUUAAAGGAAUUGGCGGGGGAGCACCACAACGGGUGGAGCCUGCGGUUUAAUCGGACUCAACGCCGGGAAUCUCACCGGAUAAGACAGCUGAAUGAUAGUCGGGAUGAAGACUCUACUUGACUAGCUGAGAGGAGGUGCAUGGCCGUCGUCAGUUCGUACUGUGAAGCAUCCUGUUUAGUCAGGCAACGAGCGAGACCCACGCGAGCAGUUGCCAGCUUGACCUUCGGGUUGAUGGGGACACUGCUCGGACCGCCUCUGCUAAAGGGGAGGAAGGACUGGGCAACGGUAGGUCAGCAUGCCCCGAAUUAUCCGGGCUACACGCGGGCUACAAUGGACAGGACAAUGAGUUUCGACACCGAGAGGUGAGGAUAAUCUUCUAACCCUGUCCCAAGUUCGGAUUGCGGGUUGUAACUCACCCGCAUGAAGCUGGAAUCCGUAGUAAUCGCGUUUCAACAUACCGCGGUGAAUGUGUCCCUGCUCCUUGCACUCACCGCC
rnacentral:rRNA from 1 species